UACAGAGGUCUCGAGCGUUUGUUCGGAUUCAUUGGGCGUAAAGGGUGCGUAGGUGGCGUGGUAAGUCUGGUGUGAAAUCCCGGGGCUCAACCCCGGAACUGCACUGGAUACUGCCAUGCUUGAGUACUGGAGAGGAGAUUGGAAUUUACGGUGUAGCAGUGAAAUGCGUAGAUAUCGUAAGGAAGACCAGUGGCGAAGGCGAAUCUCUGGACAGUUACUGACACUGAGGCACGAAGGCCAGGGGAGCAAACGGGG
rnacentral:rRNA from 1 species